UGUAUCUCAGUGAGUCAAUACCAAUAAGUAUCACGAGCCUCCAAAAAGUGUUGAACGCGAAAGAUUAAUGAACAAAAAAAUGUCUUGCAUAAUAGUGUUUACGUGAUAUUUUCUUUAUUUACGUUCACACAAAAAAAUAAAAAUAAAUCAGCCACAACAUAUAUGCAUAUUUAUUUGAUCGUUUUAGCUUAUUUAUUGUAGGAUUUAGAAUAACAUAUUUAAUCGUUUUAUUAGCUUCUUUAUUUUCAAAAUCUGUUGAUUGUACGUGCGAAUCAUAUAUCUCAAGCUUGUUGCACCAAGAAUCGUAACUAUAAACUGAUAAAAGAGACCGAGACGAUGCAAAACCAGAAAGCAAAAAGUGAAAGUUUGAUUAAGACUAGAAAAGAAACAAAACUAAUUAUAAGAUAUAUGUAUCCAAAUAUUUAUUUGUUAGAUAUUUUUCUUUAAAACCUAAAAUGUGAGCGUUAAUGCUGUCGACGAAAAUUUCAUUGCGAAGUAGGGACCAUAAUGAUAUGGAAGUGAUCUUCUCUGCUUCAUUAAUCUCUAUUUUUAAAAAAAAAAAACAUCCAUGACCAAUUCUUUCCAAUCUAUUUUAUUUUUAUAAUUUUUUUUUUCGUUAAUUUAUUUAUAUAAAUUUCCAUCAACCGAAAGAGCUUUUUCUUUUGGAAUUUGCUUUACUUCUUUUUCAUGCUCUUUCAACCGUCAAAGUAACGUCUCUCG
rnacentral:lncRNA from 1 species